AUUUAUAUAGUAUAAAAAAUUAUUUUUAACUUCCAAUUAAAAGAUCUAGAAAUAGUAUAAAUA
rnacentral:tRNA from 1 species